rnacentral:rRNA from 1 species
CCUACGGGAGGCAGCAGUGAGGAAUAUUGGUCAAUGGACGAGAGUCUGAACCAGCCAAGUAGCGUGAAAGAUGACUGCCCUAUGGGUUGUAAACUUCUUUUAUAAAGGAAUAAAACGAGGCACGUGUGCCUUUUUGCAUGUACUUUAUGAAUAAGGAUCGGCUAACUCCGUGCCAGCAGCCGCGGUAAUACGGAGGAUCCGAGCGUUAUCCGGAUUUAUUGGGGUUAAAGGGAGCGUAGAUGGGUUGUUAAAUCAGUUGUGAAAGGUUGCGGCUCAACCGUAAAAUUGCAAUUGAUACUGGCAGUCUUGAGUACAGUUGAGGUAGGCGGAAUUCGUGGUGUAGCGGUGAAAUGCUUAGAUAUCACGAAGAACCCCGAUUGCGAAGGCAGCUUACUAAACUGUGACUGACAUUGAUGCUCGAAAGUGUGGGUAUCAAACAGGAUUAGAUACCCCUGUAGUC